rnacentral:rRNA from 1 species
AUUGAACGCUGGCGGCAGGCCUAACACAUGCAAGUCGAGCGGAGCGGCGGACGGGUGCGUAAUGCCUAGGAAUCUGCCUGGUAGUGGGGGAUAACGUCCGGCAACGGGCGCUAAUACCGCAUACUCUCAGACGCGCCUAGGUCGGAUUAGCUAGUUGGUGGGGUAAAGGCCUACCAGGGCGACGAUCCGUAACUGGUCUGAGAGGAUGAUCAGUAACACGGGAACGGAGACACGGUCCAGAUUCCUACGGAAGGCAGAAGUGGGGAAUAUUGGACAAUGGGGGCAAGCCGGAUGCAGCCAGGCGGGGUGUAUGAAGAAGGCCUUCGGGUGGUAAAGUACUUUCAGCGGGGAGGCGUUACCCGCAGAAGAAGCACCGGCUAACUCCGUGCCAGCAGCCGCGGUAAUUC